AGUGGCGAACGGGUGAGUAAUACUUUGCUAACGUACCCCGAAGGUCGGGGAUAGCGGCUGGAAACGGCCGGUAAUACCCGAUGACCCCCGCGGGUCGCAUGGACUGCGGGGCAAAGGCUUGCUGCCUUGGGAUCGGGCAAAGCGCUAUCAGCUUGUUGGUGAGGUAACGGCUCACCAAGGCAAAGACGGUUAGCGGGUGUGAGAGCAUGACCCGCCGCAUCGGGACUGAGACACUGCCCGGACUCCUACGGGAGGCUGCAGUAACGAAUCUUCCGCAAUGCGCGAAAGCGUGACGGAGCAAUGCCGCGUGAAGGAUGAAGCCCCUCGGGGUGUAAACUUCUGUCAGGGUUUAGGAAUUCUGACCAAACCCAAAGGAAGGACCGGCUAACUUCGUGCCAGCAGCCGCGGUAAGACGAAGGGUCCAAGCGUUAAUCGGAAUCACUGGGCUUAAAGCGUGCGCAGGCGGGCCUGUAAGUACCUUGUGAAAUACCACCGCUCAACGGUGGAAUGGCAGGGUAUACUGCAGGCCUUGAGGCCGGUAGAGGUUGCCGGAACUGUAGGUGUAGCGGUGAAAUGCGUAGAUAUCUACAGGAACACCAAAGACGAAGGUAGGCAACUGGGCCGGUUCUGACGCUCAGGCACGAAAGCGUGGGGAGCAAACAGGAUUAGAUACCCUGGUAGUCCACGCCGUAAACGAUGUGCACUAGAUUCGAGAGGCUCUGACGCCAUUCGGGUCGAAGCAAAAGUGUUAAGUGCACCGCCUGGGGAGUACGGUCGCAAGGCUACAACUCAAAGGAAUUGACGGGGGCUCACACAAGCGGUGGAGCAUGUGGCUUAAUUCGAAGCAACGCGAAGAACCUUAUCCUGGGUUUGACAUGCACGGAUACCCUCGCCGAAAGGCGAGUAAGUUGCCCAUUCGGGUGAAACGUGCACAGGUGCUGCAUGGCUGUCGUCAGCUCGUGCUGUGAAGUGUUGGGUUAAGUCCCUUAACGAGCGAAACCCGUGUCGCUAGUUGCUAACAGGUCUCCGGACGCUGAGGACUCUAGCGAGACUGCCGGUGUCAAACCGGAGGAAGGCGGGGAUGACGUCAAGUCCUCAUGGCCUUUAUGCCCAGGGCUGCACACGUGCUACAAUGGCGUGAACAGAGCGACGCAAUACC
rnacentral:rRNA from 1 species